rnacentral:rRNA from 1 species
AGCGGCGUCCGGGUGAGUAACACGUGGAUAAUCUACCUCAAAAUCUGGAAUAACCUGCCGAAAGGCGGGCUAAUACUGGAUAGUUCGAGAGUUUCGUAGAGAUUCUCUCGGGAAAGGGAGCUCGUAAGAGCCUUCGUUUUGAGAUGAGUCCGCGUCCCAUUAGCUUGUUGGUGGGGUAAAAGCCUACCAAGGCUGUGAUGGGUAGCUGGUCUGAGAGGAUGAUCAGCCACACUGGCACUGAAACACGGGCCAGACUCCUACGGGAGGCAGCAGUAGGGAAUAUUGCGCAAUGGACGAAAGUCUGACGCAGCAACGCCGCGUGAGUGAAGAAGGCCCUCGGGUCGUAAAGCUCUGUCAGAUGGGACGAACAACUUUUGGAUUAAUAGUCCAAGAGCCUGACGGUACCAUCAGAGGAAGCACCGGCUAACUCCGUGCCAGCAGCCGCGGUAAUACGGAGGGUGCAAGCGUUGCUCGGAAUUACUGGGCGUAAAGGGAAGGCAGGUGGUCCUGUUUGUCAGUGGUGAAAUCCCUAAGCUUAACUUAGGAAUUGCCCCUGAAACGGCAGGACUAGAAUUCUGGAGAGGGUCGUGGAAUUCCCGGUGUAGCGGUGAAAUGCGUAGAGAUCGGGAGGAACACCAGAGGCGAAAGCGGCGACCUGGACAGAUAUUGACACUGAACUUCGAAAGCGUGGGGAGCAAACAGGAUUAGAUACCCUGGUAGUCCACGCCGUAAACGAUCGGUACUAGGCUUGGCUGGUUUUGACCCCUGCCGAGCCGACGCUAACGCAUUAA